rnacentral:piRNA from 1 species
CUCUUGCAGAGGAUCCAGGUUUGA